GAUGAAGAACGUAGCGAAAUGCGAUAAGUAAUGUGAAUUGCAGAAUUCAGUGAAUCAUCGAAUCUUUGAACGCACAUUGCGCCCGUUAGCAUUCUAGCGGGCAUGCCUGUCCGAGCGUCAUUUCAACCCUCAGGGUCCCCGUUCCGGCGGGGAACCUGGUGUUGGGGAUCGGCCCGCCCCGUGCGGCGCCGUCCCCCAAAUUCAGUGGCGGUCUCGCUGCAGCCUCCCCUGCGUAGUAGUUACAACCUCGCAUCGGAGCUCAGCGCGGCCACGCCGUAAAACCCCCGACUUUCUGAACGUUGACCUCGGAUCAGGUAGGAAUACCCGCUGAACUUAAGCAUAUCAAUAAGCGAGGA
rnacentral:misc_RNA from 1 species